rnacentral:lncRNA from 1 species
AGAGCAGAAGCCAGCACAACAUUGUGACUUGGCACCAUCAGUUUUCUCAAGCACUUUUUUCUUAUCAACAACAGAAAAAAGCGCAGUAUUCAAGUCCUGCACAGAGUGAGAAGUGAACUUGAAGCACGCUGGGAGAGCCUGGGGAGGAGGAAGAUAGUGCGUUGGUCCUUGAGGUUGUAUUGUUGCCUGUAUAACUAUGAUGAAUGAGGUGCCCCAGCACAGGAAUUUUAAAACAUGUCAUGGAAUAUUCUGCAUGGGAAGAAAGACGGAAAUACAAUUUUAGAUGAUGCAAGUCUCAAGUUACUUAUGACAAUUCUUAGAAUGUUUUGGGAACGUCUGGAAUAGUUGACAGUUGAGUUUUGCUUCACAUGGAGUCAUCCUGUCUUCCCAAUCAGUAAAGCAGCUGAUAACUGUUGGCCACCGUUGGGAAUAUGCAUUAAUCAGAUCAUUCAUCAACAUUUGAGGAUCCAACUGUGUUAAUGGUCACCUUUACUAACAGUAAUGUACAGCAUCAAAUAAAAUUCCUGUCCCUUAUGA